rnacentral:lncRNA from 10 species
UCAUGACAAGCUAAGGAGUCAACCACUCAGUAUCAUUAAACAGGCAGCACUUACCCUCUAUGGCUUGAAAAGAAUCUAUUUUGAUGAAGGACAUGCCAGGUUUCUCAACAUCAAUGCCAGGUGAUUUCUUAAUUAACUCACAGGGACAUAAGGAUUUCAAAAGGCCCUCAGAACAUCCUGCUACUUCAAGGAAGCCAGCUUCCACGUCAUGACAACAUUCAUGCAGCACUAUGGAAAGGCAAGAAACUGAGGCCUCUGUCAGCAGCCAGCACCAACUUGCAAGCCAUGGGAGGGGGCAUUCUUGGAAGAGAAUCCUCCUGCUCACUCAAGUCUUCAGAUGACUCCAGCUCUGGCUAACAUCAUGACUAUGAUCUCAUGAGAGAUGCUGAGUCAGAACCACCAAGCUUAGACACUUCUUCAUUCCUGACCCACAUGAUAUGUGCAAGAUAAUAAAUUUUUAUUGGUGUCUUCCAUCUCUAAGUUUGGGGCUAGUUUC